GAUGAACGCUAGCUACAGGCUUAACACAUGCAAGUCGAGGGACCGGCUCACGGGUGAGUAACACGUACCCAACCUGCCCUUUACUCGGGGAUAGCCUUUCGUUAGAACGAUUAAUACCCGCUAUAUAGGAUUGUGAUGCGUUCCAUUAGGUUGUUGGUGCGGUAACGGCUCACCAAGCCUUCGAUGGAUAGGGGUUCUGAGAGGAAGGUCCCCCAGAUGGGGACUGGGACAAGGGCCAAACUGCUACGGGAGGCAGCAGUGAGGAAUAUUGGGCAAUGGGCGAUAGCCAGAACCAGCCAAGUAGCGAGAAGGAUGAAUGGUUAUGGAGCGCAAACUUCUUUUAUAUAAGAGUAUGUAUUAUAUGAAUAAGGAUCGGCUAACUCCGUGCCAGCAGCCGCGGUAAUUC
rnacentral:rRNA from 1 species